CAAGGGUGCAGAUUUAUUCUUUUUAUUUUCAUUUUUUUCUUCUCUCUCUCUGUGCCGACACCCACAGAUGACAGAUCUUCUUCUUCAUUCUUUUCUCUCUUUUUCGUUUAUCUGGUUAACAGAGAACAUAUGAGAUGAUAAUGGAGAUGACGAAGACUCGCUGGUGAGGAAGACUCGUCGGUGACGAACGCCAGAGGCUCACCGGAGAUGAAGCGCAUCAGAUAAGUCUCUCGCUCUCUCUCUCUCUCUCUCUCUCUCUGUUUUGAUUUUGAUUUUGAUUUUGAGUAUGAUUUUGUUUUUGUUUUUUCUGGUAGAAAAAUGUAGAUGAGGCCGAAUAAGAUGAUGUACGGUGGUGGUGCUUAGGGAAUAAUGGUGUGCUCGAGAAGGAGUUUAAGGAGCUCGACGGUGAAUAAGAAGUGUGACAGUGGAGGACACAGAAGAAGCUUUCCGGAGAUGGUGGUGACCAUGACGGGAUGAGGAAAGAGCGGCGGCUUAGGGUUAGGAGUUAGGAUAGGUUUUUGGUUUUGGUUUAGUUAUUUUGGUUUUACCUAAUCUUAUUUAGUCUGGUUUAGUUUUGUAAACCAGAUUCUAUUUGUAAACCAAUUCUCAAUUAUAAAUAAAAAUUAUUAUAUUUUAUAUUAUAAACAA